rnacentral:rRNA from 1 species
GAUGAACGCUGGCGGCGUGCCUAAUACAUGCAAGUCGAGCGAACGGACGAGAAGCUUGCUUUUCUGUUGUUAGCGGCGGACGGGUGUGUAACACGUGUAUCACCUACCUAUAUUACUGGUAUAACUACGGGAAACCGGCGCUUAUACCGUAUAAUCUUUUGAACCGUAUGGUUCAAAAGUGAAAUACGGUCUUUCUGUCACUUAUAGAUGGAUCCCCGCUGCUUUAGCUAGUUGGUAAGGUAACGGGUUAUCAAGGCGACGAUGCGUAGCCGACCUGAGAGGGGGAUAGGCCACACGGGAGCUGAGACGCGGACCAGGCGCCUACGGGAGGGAGCAGUAGGGUAUCUGACGCAAUGGGCGAAAGCCUGACGGAACAGGGGCGCGUGAGUGAUAGAGAUCUUGGGAGCGUAAAACUCUGUUAUGAGGGAAGAACAGAUGUGGAAGUAAAUGUGCAGAUAGUGACGGUACCUAAUCAAGAAGCACCGGCUAACUACGUG